CUUUCUUACUUCUUCCUUUAGCCAGGAAAUUGCAGACCUUGUGCUAGCACAGCCUGGCUAUCAGCCCUGGGAAGUAUUCCUAAAGCUAUCACUUUGGCUGCUUAUUAACUCAGGAAUCACACUGACAUGCUGGGGAAAAAGCAGUUCCUUGAAGCAUUCUGGAGUAGAUCUUGGGCGGGUCAGGAGAUCAUAAGGAACAGAAAUUACAAUAGCUAAGGGAGGCAAAUGUCAACCAACUUGGAGUGCUGUUACCCAAGUGAAAGGCUGCUGCUGCGUUAAGCGUUUCGGGGCUGCAGGAUUACGGGACGGUGAAAGAAGCCUUCAUGGACCUGCUUCAUCCUCCAGGAUACUAUAGGCAAUACCUUUCCGUAAAACACAUCUGGGUUGGGCUCCAGUGAGAAGAUCAGCUUUAACUGCAAUGAGCAGAAGAGGCUUUGACCACAUCUUUAGCUAGCACUGGCUGUGCCACACUACUUGUCUUUCUCAAAAAAAGACACCAUUUCUAAGCCCAGAGCUAUGUGGCUAGUGGAGAAGAGCAGAAGGUCACCACAGAAGGCACUGCCUCUCCUCAAGACCGCUUCUACUGUCAGAAACAGACGCGUACAUUACUGGCUAUUGCCACACACUGCCCAGUAGCCAUCUAAUCUCCCACUGCUGCCUUUGGGCUGAGCAAAGACACUGCUUGGGAAAAGCUGGUGAGGGAAGGAAGUGCAGGGAAGGCUCCUGAACCAUUUGUUGGCAUGGGCAGAAGACCUAUUUUGUCUCUGUACAAGACCUGUAGGUCUUGUAGGGGACAAUCUGUGCAACUGUUUGGCUGGAGAGAGUGGUAUGCAAGGCUGGAUUGACAGGGUCUCGCCCCAGUGAUUUACAAGCUGAGGUGCAAACAUUAGAGGCAAAUUCUGCGUCCACUGGAAAGUACUUUGAUCAAAGCACCAAGCCCAGUGCAAAGUCUGCACAAAUGUUAUUAUUCAUCCAAAAACCAAAAAGAGCAAGCCAAAGGCCCUGUCCACACUGGGAUCAGGAUUGGGCUAGCAACAAGCGUGUUGAUGCUGAUAAAACCACAGGGAAACAUCUCUACAUCUGGAGCUUCUGUUCAGUGUUAAUCCAUACUGGGAUGCUGUUUAAUAAUGUAUUUAACUAGAGUACUGCAAAUGUGUGGUAAAUGACAUUUUUUACCAUUACAUUAAUAAUAGGUGUUAUUUAUCCUUUAUUGCCCAGAAACAUUUUAGGGACCGUUGUUAAUAUUUCCUAGAAAUAAAUGUUUAUGGAAUCAUUAACUCUGGUUUUAUUGGCCAUAUUUCUAACAAAGCUUCUGAGUCAUGCCUUCAAGUCUGCUAGGAUUUGUGAUCCUAUUUUCUGUUUGCUUUGUACAUUUUGUCUGUCUGUGUAAUUUGAAAAGAGAAUCGUAGAGUGUAAGAUGGAGGCAAGUAUUCUUUAUUUUAAUUAAAAUGCUAACAUAAGAAAUUAUCUUAUUGAAUGAUUGUGUUGUAACACAGCCACUUGCUCUGCCAUACAGUAGUUAAGUGUGAUUUGAUGCUUCCUCUAGAAUGCUUCCUAUUCUCCAGGGCUUAUACUGUAGCCAAAAAAAAUCCCUUUAAGCUGUAACUUGGCACACAAAUUCUCAGCUAAACUUCAGCACUGCUUGAAACUUAAAAUACAAAACUUUGUUUUCCCAUGUUCAGUUUGCUUUGGGACACCACACCUGUAGUUCCAUGUAUUGCUUUUUUGUGGAGUGAUCGAAGAGCUCGAUGUCUGUUUAACAUUAAAAAUGAAAUGCUUCUGGCAUUAAUUUAUAAAGGGGAUUCAUUACUGCCAACUGAGGGAAAAUCCUAUAUCACAGGACAAAUGAAUUCUGGAUGGACAAACAUAUGUCAGUGCACAUGAAAAAAAAAAUCCUGUUUUUUUUUACUUUUUUUUUUUUUUUUUUUUUUUUGGCAGGACCAUCUGUUGCCCUGUCUAAAUGGAAGUUUCUUACAUUUGUGGAGGAAUCUCCACAAAAAGGGGAAAAGCCUCUGUGUUUGACCCAUGUCAGAGACAGAGGUGUCAGCUAACUGAACAUUUGGUCCGAUCCAAGCAAGAGCCCUCAUCUCUUCUCAAACAGCAAAGUGAAUAUGGGGACUGACACAGCACCAACAGUGUGGAUCUAGACUUUGCUGUAGACUUUAACCAAUAUUUCGUCUAUUAUUAUUUAUGUUUUAAUAGUUUCUUGAAGCAAGACCAAGAUGUUGUUGAGCAUACUGCCUGUUUCCAUGCCAUUGACAAUGGAAUCUGAUGGGUCAUUUAGAUUUGGGUAGAUCAUUUGAUCUUUUGAUGAAUACAUAAUAUUUAGGAGAAGAGUGAAAGUUACUGUAACCAACAAAUACCUGUGCAACAAGGUUAUGAAGUUGAGCAAUAGAUAUGUACCUAACUUUUGUUGCUGUAGUUGUUGUUUCCAGUAAAUUGUGUACCUGAUUAAUUUCAAGCCAUUUUUGCAACAUGCUUUUCCAAGGCCUUUACCACAUACUUCAUAGUUUCCAGAUG